GAUGAACGCUGGCGGCGUGCCUAAUACAUGCAAGUCGAGCGAACGGACGAGGAUCUUGCUUCUCUGAUGUUAGCGGCGGACGGGUGAGGAACACGUGGCUAACCGACCUAGAAGACUGGGAUCAGUUCGGGAAACCUAAUCUAGUACCGGAUAUUAGGUUGAACGGCAGGGUUCAAAAGUGAAAAACCGUUUUGCUGUCACUUAGAGAUGUUACCGCGCUGCAUUAGCUAGUUGGUAAGGUAACGGCUUACCAAGGCAACGAUGCAUAGCCGACCUGAGAGGGUGAUCGGCCACACUGGAACUGAGACACGGUCCAGACUCCUACGGGAGGCAGCAGUAGGGAAUCUUCCGCAAUGGGCGAAAGCCUGACGGAGCAACGCCGCGUGAGUGAUGAAGGUCUUCGGAUCGUAAAACUCUGUUAUUAGGGAAGAACAUAUGUGUAAGUAACUGUGCACAUCUUGACGGUACCUACUCAGAAAGCCACGGCUAACUACGUG
rnacentral:rRNA from 1 species